UACGUAGGGGGCAAGCGUUGUCCGGAUUUAUUGGGCGUAAAGAGCGUGUAGGCGGCCUGAAAGGUCAGCUGUGAAAACUCGAGGCUCAACCUCGAGACGUCGGUUGAAACCAUCUGGCUAGAGUCCGGAAGAGGAGUGUGGAAUUCCCGGUGUAGCGGUGAAAUGCGCAGAUAUCGGGAAGAACACCCGUGGCGAAGGCAAUCCCCUGGACCUGUACUGACGCUCAUGCACGAAAGCGUGGGGAGCAAACAGG
rnacentral:rRNA from 1 species